rnacentral:tRNA from 1 species
GCCUCGGUGGUGUGAUGGAGAGCACGACAGCCCGGAUAUCUGUAAGUGCGGGUACGAGUCCCGCCUGAGGUU